rnacentral:lncRNA from 1 species
GAAUGUGUUUCUUGUUUUUUGAACAGGCCUAUUUUAAAUGUUCUUGUUAAGAUACGAAGAAUAAUCAGUAUAGUUGCCCCCAGCCAAAAAACAAAAACAAAAAGCUAAUUUAACAGAAGCUGAACAAACUUGUAUGUAGCUAUAGAGGAUCAUGUGACCUCCAGAUGGAUGUAAAAAUUUUGAUAUUUGCUAGUGGUGAUAAUUUCAGCUAUGGUGAGGUUCCUUUUAAAUCAAGUAGGCUUAGUUAUAAUCUAGAGUAAGAGAGAAAAAAGCAGGGUUGAGAAUGAGAGAGUAAGUUUACUGGGGAGGAAGACCUAGGAAGCUGUCCCUUUUUCAGUGGUUAGUACACAGUUUUCCUUAUUCAUAGUCCUUAGCUAUAGCCACACAGAAAAUGCUAGUUUUCAUCUUGUACCUGUUUAUGCAGAGCUCAAAUAUGUGAAAAAGUUGUAUGUCUUGAAGACUGCUAAAGUAUUUACAGUAUGAAUACAGUUUUGACUGUAACUACUUUGGCUGUUGUUUUAAAUCUAAUUUUUCAAAAAUCAUUAACUAGUUUUCAUUGAGUAAUCCUAAAUAAAAUAUGGUUUUUAACAUAAGUGAACUUGAUAUUUUUAGUUCCAGUGGUAGAAAUGAAGUAAGAUCUAUUGGCAUACAUUAUAGUUAAAAAAAAAAAGUCAAGUCAACUGGACAGUGAAAGUUGACAAAAUAUUAAUGUACUGAGAAUCCUGUGUUCAAUUUAAAUCCUGUGUACAAUCACUGUGAAUUUCGUGUUGUCUUUUUGUAAUUCUUUAACAAAGAAUUUUUCCUAGGCAUAGCUGCUAACAAUCUUAAUAGUCUUUAAUAGUCUUAAGAACUAAUUUAAAAGAUUGGCAUUGGAAGCAAGUUAAGGUGCUUAGGAAAUGUAGAAGGUUUUUGGGAAACAUUAGUUUGAGGACACAUUAGCCAGCACAAAUAAGAGAUCAGGUUUUAAUGUUCAGCUGUUGUAAUGGAACCUCAUUUUGGUAUUAUUCUAGAUCAUUGUG